rnacentral:rRNA from 1 species
GCUUAACACAUGCAAGUCGAGGGGCAGCAUGUCGGUUGCUUGCAACCGAUGAUGGCGACCGGCGCACGGGUGAGUAACGCGUAUCCAACCUACCCUUGUCCAUCGGAUAACCCGUCGAAAGGCGGCCUAACACGAUAUGCGGUUCUCAGCAGGCAUCUAACGAGAACGAAAUGUGAAGGAGAAGGAUGGGGAUGCGUCUGAUUAGCUUGUUGGCGGGGUAACGGCCCACCAAGGCGACGAUCAGUAGGGGUUCUGAGAGGAAGGUCCCCCACAUUGGAACUGAGACACGGUCCAAACUCCUACGGGAGGCAGCAGUGAGGAAUAUUGGUCAAUGGGCGAGAGCCUGAACCAGCCAAGUAGCGUGAAGGAUGACUGCCCUAUGGGUUGUAAACUUCUUUUAUAAAGGAAUAAAGUCGGGUAUGGAUACCCGUUUGCAUGUACUUUAUGAAUAAGGAUCGGCUAACUCCGUGCCAGCAGCCGCGGUAAUACGGAGGAUCCGAGCGUUAUCCGGAUUUAUUGGGUUUAAAGGGAGCGUAGAUGGAUGUUUAAGUCAGUUGUGAAAGUUUGCGGCUCAACCGUAAAAUUGCAGUUGAUACUGGAUAUCUUGAGUGCAGUUGAGGCAGGCGGAAUUCGUGGUGUAGCGGUGAAAUGCUUAGAUAUCACGAAGAACUCCGAUUGCGAAGGCAGCCUGCUAAGCUGCAACUGACAUUGAGGCUCGAAAGUGUGGGUAUCAAACAGG